GGGUUGUGAGGUUAAGCGACUAAGCGUACACGGUGGAUGCCCUGGCAGUCAGAGGCGAUGAAGGGCGUGCUAAUCUGCGAUAAGCGCCGGUAAGGUGAUAUGAACCGUUAUAACCGGCGAUACCCGAAUGGGGAAACCCAGUGUGACUCGUCACACUAUCAUUAACUGAAUCCAUAGGUUAAUGAGGCGAACCGGGGGAACUGAAACAUCUAAGUACCCCGAGGAAAAGAAAUCAACCGAGAUUCCCCCAGUAGCGGCGAGCGAACGGGGAGGAGCCCAGAGCCUGAAUCAGCAUGUGUGUUAGUGGAAGCGUCUGGAAAGGCGCGCGAUACAGGGU
rnacentral:rRNA from 1 species